rnacentral:rRNA from 1 species
GAUGAGCGCUGGCGGCGUGCCUAAUACAUGCAAGUCGAGCGAACAGAUGAGGAGCUUGCUCCUCUGACGUUAGCGGCGGACGGGUGAGUAACACGUGGAUAACCUACCUAUAAGACUGGGAUAACUUCGGGAAACCGGAGCUAAUACCGGAUAAUAUAUUGAACCGCAUGGUUCAAUAGUGAAAGACGGUUUUGCUGUCACUUAUAGAUGGAUCCGCGCCGCAUUAGCUAGUUGGUAAGGUAACGGCUUACCAAGGCAACGAUGCGUAGCCGACCUGAGAGGGUGAACGGCCACACUGGAACUGAGACACGGUCCAGACUCCUACGGGAGGCAGCAGUAGGGAAUCUUCCGCAGUGGGCGAAAGCCUGACGGAGCAACGCCGCGUGAGUGAUGAAGGUCUUCGGAUCGUAAAACUCUGUUAUUAGGGAAGAACAAAUGUGUAAGUAACUAUGCACGUCUUGACGGUACCUAAUCAGAAAGCCACGGCUAACUACGUG